CAGCCGCCGCGGGAAUACGAAGGGUGCAAGCGUUACUCGGAAUUACUGGGCGUAAAGCGUGUGUAGGUGGUUGUUUAAGUCUGUCGUGAAAGCCCUGGGCUCAACCUGGGAAUUGCGAUGGAUACUGGGCGACUAGAGUGCGGUAGAGGAUAGUGGAAUUCCCAGUGUAGAGGUGAAAUGCGCAGAUACCGGGAGGAACGCCGAUGGCGAAGGCAGCCACCUGGUCCACUUCUGACGCUGAGGCACGAAAGCGUGGGGAGCAAACAGGAUUAGAUACCCCAGUAGUCCCUGUCUCUUAUAC
rnacentral:rRNA from 1 species